rnacentral:rRNA from 1 species
GGGUGAGUAACGCGUAUGCAACCUUCUUAUUCUUUUGGGAUAGCUCGUUGAAAGCGAAUUUAAUACUUUAUUAUACAGGGACUCCGCAUGGAGAUUAUUUGUUAAAGAUUUAUUGGUAGUAGAUGGGCAUGCGUUCCAUUAGCUUGUUGGUGAGGUAACUGCUCACCAAGGCAUCGAUGGAUAGGGGAACUGAGAGGUUUGUCCCCCACACUGGAACUGAGACACGGUCCAGACUCCUACGGGAGGCAGCAGUGAGGAAUAUUGGUCAAUGGAGGCAACUCUGAACCAGCCAAGUCGCGUGAAGGAUGACGGCCCUACGGGUUGUAAACUUCUUUUUUAAGGGAAUAAAGUGAGCCACGUGUGGCUUUUUGCAAGUACCUUACGAAUAAGGAUCGGCUAACUCCGUGCCAGCAGCCGCGGUAAUACGGGGGAUCCGAGCGUUAUCCGGAUUUAUUGGGUUUAAAGGGUGCGCAGGCGGAAUAUUAAGUCGGCGGUGAAAGUUUGCAGCUUAACUGUAAAAUUGCCGUUGAUACUGGUAUUCUUGAGUGUAUAUGAAGUAGGCGGAAUUUGUAGUGUAGCGGUGAAAUGCAUAGAUAUUACAAGGAACUCCAAUUGCGAAGGCAGCUUAUUAAAUUACAACUGACGCUUAGGCACGAAGGCGUGGGUAUCAAACAGGAUUAGAUACCCUGGUAGUCCACGCAGUAAACGAUGAUUACUCGCUGUUUGCGAUACACAGUAAGCGGCUUAGCGAAAGCGUUA